rnacentral:lncRNA from 1 species
CACAGCUUGGCAUGUUCAAUACAAGCCUGAAGGGCGUGCUUGUGUGACAAAGUAGAGUUAACAGGACGACAAAUGAGCAGGUCACUGAGCAUGACGAUCAAAUCCAAGUCCUUCUCCGACAACAUAUCCAUCACAUCCGUCGACUCAUCCUCCUGCAUACAAUCAUAGUUCAAACAACAAACCUUCUCAUGCAUAGCCCUUUUCCACAUAGUUGAAACAAAGUCAAUUUUCCCCCAAUUCGCAUGA